rnacentral:misc_RNA from 1 species
CAACCAUCAAGCCCCCCGGCUUGUGUUGGGGACCUGCGGCUGCCGCAGGCCCUGAAAUCCAGUGGCGGGCUCGCCGUAGCACCGAGCGUAGUAGCACACUUCUCGCUCCGGUAGCAGCGGCGGGCGCCUGCCGUAAAAACCCCCCCCUUAAAAUCUCAA